rnacentral:snRNA from 1 species
CUUUGUCUACAUUUGGGAA